AAUUUUGACAGGCAGAGAAACAGCCACACAAGUGCCAAUUUUGUAGCUUAGUCCAUCACCACCAAGAACAUAAUAUCCUCCAUUCUUCUCCUUCACUCUCUAACUUAUUUUUUCUCUCGCUUUCACUUUUUCCAAACACAAUACUAAACCCAUUUCACUCCUUCAAAUUCCCUAUCUUCCCUUCCCAUUUUCUCAUUAAGGUAAGCACUAAUUAUUCACUUUCUUGUUAAUUAAAGAUUUCAAUUUUGUAAGAAAUCUUGAGACUUUUUGUCCAACUGAUACAAUUUACUCGAUAUGGUAUCAUAAGGGGUGUUUUUAGGUUUCUUGUUGGUUUUUGUGAAUGGGGUCUAUGGUGGUUUUAGUAGGCAGCAUGCCAUCUUUGGCUUCCCUUAUGAGUUUAGGGAGCUUGAGUGUGUCUACAGCUAGCUCUAGUUGUGUUGAAUCUUCUUCAUAUUCAGUUUUAAAGAGAGUUUCUUUAUCAAAAAGGAGUCUUAGGAAGGCUAAAAGAUGGGAUUGUGUGUGUAAAUAUUCAGUUACUACCACUGAUUUCAUUGCUGAGCAAGGCAAUGCUGUGUCACUUGAUUCUAGUAGUAGUACAAUUAGAGGAGGAAGUGAUGGUGAUAGUGAGGUUGUACUUAAGCCUGCUCCAAAGCCUGUGUUAAAAUCUCCAGCUGGUUCUAAGGAUGAAACCCCUUUGAGUAUGAAUUCUGUUGGGUGGGGUUCUUCAAGUGCUGGUGGGGAUUCUGAUGGUGAAAGGUCGGAUGAGGAGGAAGGAGAGAGGAAUAAGGUGAUCGAGUCACUUGGUGAGGUUUUGGAGAAAGCUGAAAAGCUUGAAACUUCAAAACUGAGCCAAGUGGGUGGUAGUGCUAGUAGUAAUAGGAAACAGAAUGGGGUUGUAAAUAAAAUGAUUUCACCUAAUGUGGGUAAUGAUUCGAGAAAUGUUAAUUCAUCGGCUGCUAAUAUGAAAACUAAAACUUUAAAAAGUGUGUGGCGGAAAGGAGACUCUGUGGCUGCAUUGCCGAAGGUUGUCAAGGAAGUUCCAAAGGCUAGUAAUAGGGUUAUCAAAGGGGAACCUAAAACAGUAGAAGGAGCAAAGCUAGAAUCUCAAUCAACUGUACCAUUGAAGCCUCCUCAGCCACCUCUAAGACCUCAACCGAAGUUACAGGGCAAGCCAUCUGUAGCUCCUCCACCUAUGAUCAAGAAACCUGUUAUUUUGAAGGAUGUGGGGGCUGCUCCAAAGUCUCCAGUUAAAGUUGAAACUGGCUCAAGAGCUCCGCAAAGUAAAGGACAGCCAAUUUUGGUUGACAAAUUUGCACGCAAGAAGCCGGUUGUUGACCCUGUGAUUGCACAGGCUGUAUUAGCCCCUAUAAAACCAGGAAAGGGCCCUGCUCCUGGGAAGUACAGAGACCGAAAGAAAAGUGUUUCACCUGGAACACCAAGAAGGCGGAUGGUGGAUGAUGAUGUUGAGAUUCCUGAUGAGGAGCUCAAUGUUUCUAUUCCCGGUGCAGCUAGCGGGAGAAAAGGGAGGAAAUGGACUAAAGCCAGUAGGAAGGCAGCUAAACUCCAGGCUGCCAGAGAUGCAGCUCCUGUCAAAGUAGAGAUUUUAGAGGUUGGGGAAAAAGGUAUGUCAAUUGAAGAGCUAGCCUACAAUUUGACAAUCGGUGAAGGUGAAAUUCUUGGGUUUCUGUACUCAAAGGGGAUUAAGCCUGAUGGGGUGCAAACUUUGGACAAAGACAUGGUAAAGAUGAUAUGUAAGGAGCAUGAGGUGGAGGCCAUAGAUGCUGAUCCAGUAAAAUUUGAAGAAAUGGCAAAAAAGAAUGAAAUUCUUGAUGAAGACGACCUGGACAAACUACAAGAGAGGCCUCCUGUCCUUACUAUAAUGGGUCAUGUAGACCAUGGCAAGACAACCCUAUUGGAUCAUAUUCGUAAAAGCAAGGUGGCUGCCUCAGAAGCUGGUGGGAUUACACAAGGAAUUGGAGCAUAUAAAGUUAUGAUACCUGUGGAUGGCAAGUUGCAACCAUGUGUUUUCCUUGAUACUCCUGGGCACGAGGCAUUUGGAGCAAUGAGAGCCCGUGGAGCGAGGGUGACUGACAUUGCUAUUAUUGUGGUGGCUGCUGAUGAUGGGAUUCGUCCUCAGACUAAGGAGGCCAUAGCUCAUGCCAAAGCAGCUGGAGUGCCCAUUGUAAUCACAAUAAAUAAGAUAGAUAAAGAUGGAGCCAAUCCAGAAAGAGUCAUGCAAGAGCUCUCUUCUAUUGGUCUCAUGCCAGAGGACUGGGGUGGUGAUGUCCCAAUGGUUCAGAUCAGCGCUCUCAAGGGGGAAAAUAUAGAUGAUUUGUUGGAAACUGUUAUGCUUGUGGCAGAGUUACAAGAAUUGAAGGCUAAUCCAGAUAGAAAUGCAAAGGGCACUGUUAUUGAGGCAGGUCUUGAUAAAUCUAAAGGGCCAGUAGCAACUUUUAUUGUACAGAAUGGCACCCUGAAAAGAGGGGAUGUAGUGGUUUGUGGACAAGCCUUUGGAAAGGUGCGGGCUUUAUUUGAUGAUGGUGGAAAACGAGUUGAUGAAGCUGGACCAUCUAUACCUGUACAGGUUAUUGGUUUGAGUAAUGUACCAAUUGCUGGUGAUGAAUUUGAGGUUGUUGCCUCCCUUGAUAUUGCUCGUGAAAAGGCAGAGAAACGUGCAGAAUCAUUAUGGAAUGAACGCAUAUCGGCCAAGGCUGGAGAUGGGAAGGUGACCCUUUCUUCCUUAGCUUCAGCUGUCUCAGCAGGAAAGCUAUCCGGAUUAGACUUGCACCAGCUGAAUAUAAUAAUGAAAGUCGAUCUUCAGGGAUCUAUUGAAGCUAUCAGGCAAGCUUUACAAGUGCUCCCUCGAGAUAAUGUCACUUUGAAGUUCCUCUUGCAAGCUACAGGAGAUGUAAGCAACAGCGAUGUUGAUCUUGCUGUUGCUAGUGAAGCUAUAAUUUUAGGAUUCAAUGUCAAAGCUCCAGGUUCUGUCAAAAGCUACGCAGAAAGAAAAGGUGUUGAGAUUCGGCUAUAUAGAGUUAUCUACGAACUCAUUGAUGAUGUGCGAAAUGCAAUGGAAGGACUUCUGGAGCCUGUGGAGGAACAAGAGAUAAUUGGCUCAGCAGAAGUCCGGGCAGUAUUUAGCAGCGGCAGUGGUCGUGUUGCCGGAUGCAUGGUAACAGAAGGCAAAAUAGUAAAAGGCUGUGGAAUUAGGAUUGUCCGAAAUAGAAAAACAGUCCAUGUUGGUGUCAUUGAUUCACUGAAACGUGUUAAGGAAAUAGUGAAGGAGGUAAAUGCCGGACUAGAAUGUGGUAUUGGGGCGGAAGAUUAUGAUGAUUGGGAGGAAGGUGAUACUAUAGAGGCCUUCAACACGGUAGAGAAGAAGCGAACCCUUGAAGAGGCCUCAGCCUCCAUGGCAGCUGCACUGGAAGAGGCAGGAAUCAACUUAUAGCUUGGCAUGCAGCUCUAUAGCUGAAUAUAUUCGGUUCUCCUAAUGGAGCCCAAAGCAUUACAGGACAAUAAAGGUAGCACUAUCGAAGUAGUGCUCUAACAUUUGCUCAGUUCGUGGAAUACAGAUGUGCUGCCCAACACAUACAAUUUAUGUCAACCGCAGGGCGUGCAGGAUCGGAGCUUGAGGUGCUCAGAAUUAGGCAUGCACCACCUCCUACAUUGUCUCUUAAAAUUUAGCUACUCAAAGUUGCAGCAAACAGAAGUAUAGGAAGGCCAGACUUUGUAAUUAUAAUCACCAUUUUUUUCAGAAAUUUUAAUUUUCACAGUUACCCUAGAAGCUAUUUUGUAAAUCGAAAAUAAUGUUGGGUUAGGAAAGAUUGUAUGAAUAUUAUGCUAGGUUUUAUGAGAACGGUAAAUCUUGCUACAUCGUAUUUCAAAGGCACUUCACAAUUUUAAUAGUGAAGCAGAUUGGAAAGCCA